rnacentral:rRNA from 1 species
ACGGGGGUUGCGAGCGUUGUCCGGAAUUACUAGGCGUAAAGGGCAGGCAGGCGGAUUUAUAAGUUUUCUGUUUAAGGCAACGGCUCACCCGUUGUAAGGCAGGAGAUACUGUAGAUCUGGAAUGCGGUUGGGGAAGACAGAAUUCCUGGUGUAGUGGUAAAAUGCGUAGAGAUCAGGAGGAAGACCAGAGGCGCAGGAAGCCUACUAGUCAGUUAUUUACGCUGAGCUGCGAAGGUGUGGGUAUCAAACAG